GAGGUGAGGGUGAUUUGGCUGUGAAAUUCAUCUCCCCACUGAUCACCAAGUUUCAUUAGGCUGAUCUGGCUGGCCAGACAGGUGUCCCUUGUUCUCUUACUUCUUUUAAGUCCCUCUAGAAGCUAUGUGCUCUGUCAAAGAGGACACCCUUUCCCAUCAGAAGAGGACACUUUUCCAUAUAUGGGUAUAGAAUAACUGUGCUCUCUGUUAGAACCUCAAAAUUAGCUCCAGUUUCUCAGUUUAAAUUCAGCUUGUGAUCAGCUUAACUCCUAGACCAGACCACUGAGUAAGAAGAAUUUCAGAUUUUUCAGGAACCUCUAGAACAAGUUU
rnacentral:snRNA from 1 species